UGUUUCGGCUAGGGGGUCAUCCCGACUUACCAACCCGAUGCAAACUACGAAUACCGAAGAAUGUUAUCACGGGAGACACACGGCGGGUGCUAACGUCCGUCGUGAAGAGGGAAACAACCCAGACCGCCAGCUAAGGUCCCAAAGUCAUGGUUAAGUGGGAAACGAUGUGGGAAGGCACAGACAGCCAGGAUGUUGGCUUAGAAGCAGCCAUCAUUUAAAGAAAGCGUAAUAGCUCACUGGUCGAGUCGGCCUGCGCGGAAGAUGUAACGGGGCUAAACCAUGCACCGAAGCUGCGGCAGCGACACUAUGUGUUGUUGGGUAGGGGAGCGUUCUGUAAGCCUGCGAAGGUGUGCUGUGAG
rnacentral:rRNA from 1 species